CUUUGUAGGCUGGUGUUUCCGGGGGGGGCAUUGGUCUACGUAACUUGCAUGAGGUGUAGAAUUCACUUCAUAUGAAACUGGUCUGGAAUUUACUAUAGGGACAAGUGGUCUUCUGAUGGCCCGCUUAUAGAUCAACAGGAGGUUAGAGAUU